rnacentral:lncRNA from 1 species
GUUGACGCCGCAGUCCGCGCAGCAAGCGCUCAACCUCCCGCUCCCGACGCUCGUGACACGGCGCUACGGGCGCUAGCGUCGUCAUCGUGGUCGUCUGCCUCAUGCGUGCCUCUCGGGCACCUCGCGGAAAACAGUCAGCUCACGCGAAGUGUCCGCGCUCGGAUGCUUUUCUCCCCCCGUUGGCGCCGAAGAGGAUACUGUCCUGGUUGGUGAUGACAACUCCCCCGCUAGCUCUACGGAAGACGCCUAGAGGGCUUCCCUGCAAGGGCGUUGGUUUAUCGCGAGCGAGGUAUGGAGUUCUUACUGUGAGUCAAACCCAGGUAGGAACUUCAUACCAUGCUCGCGAUGGAAUGCAACCCAUUCAUCGCACAACGUCAGCGCCAGACGCCAGCGAUGUCGACGCUAAGGUAUCCGAGACCGAGUCAUGGGCCGUGCGCGAGAGUCGCUGUGCGCACGGGAUGCAUGGACGUGCCUUAUAGUCAUCCCGUAUGCCACCUCUAUAAGAUCCUGCCAGCCAUGCAUGUCAUGCCGAGAGCGUGCAUGCCAGCGUUCACGAUGCCAAGGAGGCGGUGAGACGCCUUGCACGCGGCGAGACGUUGGCGACGGGGGUUUUGCGAUGCUGCAGGCUGAGCUGUGACCGCACAUUCCCUGCCGGGCAGGCAGCACUCUUUCAGCCAGCAGCCGUCAUAGCCCACGUGGUCAGCCAGAAAAAAAAAAAAAAAAAGAAUGUCUAGGCUUAUUCGGGCACAUUUUGCGUCAAGGACACCUUAACUUGUCAAAGCUCCAAUGGCAUACACGGUUCAGGAAAGCGAUUGCAGGUAGGUGCGUCAUCUCGCGCGCAUUACACGCGUUGCGGUGGUACUAAAAGACAAUAAAAGUUGCAGUGAACCAAA